rnacentral:rRNA from 1 species
AUUGAACGCUGGCGGCAUGCUUUACACAUGCAAGUCGAACGGUAACAGGCCGCAAGGUGCUGACGAGUGGCGAACGGGUGAGUAAUGCAUCGGAACGUGCCCAGUCGUGGGGGAUAACGCAGCGAAAGCUGCGCUAAUACCGCAUACGAUCUAUGGAUGAAAGCGGGGGACCGAAAGGCCUCGCGCGAUUGGAGCGGCCGAUGUCAGAAUAGGGGAGUUGGUGGGGUAAAGGCCCACCAAGCCAACGAUCUGUAGCUGGUCUGAGAGGACGACCAGCCACACUGGGACUGAGACACGGCCCAGACUCCUACGGGAGGCAGCAGUGGGGAAUUUUGGACAAUGGGCGCAAGCCUGAUCCAGCAAUGCCGCGUGCAGGAAGAAGGCCUUCGGGUUGUAAACUGCUUUUGUACGGAACGAAACGGUCCGGGUUAAUACCCUGGGCUAAUGACGGUACCGUAAGAAUAAGCACCGGCUAACUACGUGCCAGCAGCCGCGGUAAUAC